CUCAUCACCCUGUGACUUACCUAAACGUUGCUUCGGCGGGAAUAGACGGCCCUGUAAAACGGGCCGCCCCCGCCAGAGGACCCUUAACUCUGUUUCUUAUAAUGUUUCUUCUGAGUAAAACAAGCAAAUAAAUUAAAACUUUCAACAACGGAUCUCUUGGCUCUGGCAUCGAUGAAGAACGCAGCGAAAUGCGAUAAGUAAUGUGAAUUGCAGAAUUCAGUGAAUCAUCGAAUCUUUGAACGCACAUUGCGCCCGCCAGUAUUCUGGCGGGCAUGCCUGUUCGAGCGUCAUUACAACCCUCAGGCCCCCGGGCCUGGCGUUGGGGAUCGGCGGAGCGCCCCUCGUGGGCGCACGCCGUCCCCCAAAUACAGUGGCGGUCCCGCCGCAGCUUCCAUCGCGUAGUAGCUAACACCUCGCGACUGGAGAGCGGCGCGGCCACGCCGUAAAACACCCCAACUCUUCUGAAGUUGACCUCGAAUCAGGUAGGAAUACCCGCUGAACUUAAGCAUAUCAAUAAGCGGAGGGAAAAGAAAAUUUUAUCAUUACCUGUAUUA
rnacentral:rRNA from 1 species